rnacentral:rRNA from 1 species
UACGUAGGGUGCAAGCGUUGUCCGGAAUUAUUGGGCGUAAAGAGCUCGUAGGCGGUCUGUCGCGUCGGAUGUGAAAAUCCAGGGCUUAACCCUGGACCUGCAUUCGAUACGGGCAGACUAGAGUUCGGUAGGGGAGACUGGAAUUCCUGGUGUAGCGGUGAAAUGCGCAGAUAUCAGGAGGAACACCGGUGGCGAAGGCGGGUCUCUGGGACGGUACUGACGCUAAGGCGCGAAAGCGUGGGGAGCAAACAGG